CCUACUUUCAAGAACAAAGAGAAUGGCUGAUGAGGAGUUCAUUUCAACCUAUCAUUCAUUCUAUAGAUAAAAGGAAAACCUUAAAGCAGCAGACUGGCAAUGCCCAUUCCUGUAGAGCCUCAGGAAUUAAUAUUUAACUCACUUCAACUAUCAUUUGCUGAACUCCAGCUAUGUGCUAUGAUGUCCUGGUUGAUACAACCACAGUGAGAAAUAAGAUAACACCUACGAAAUUAGGAUUAAUCUGAUCAGGAUAAUUUUUAAAUAUUUUUAAAUACUACUUGUAAUACAAUGUGCUGAGGGUAAUUUUUAAUAAGUGCUGAUACAAGUAGUGUAAGAGUCAAAUGAAAUUUAUUUUGACACAACGCCUGUUUAGCCAAGGAAAUAGAAUCUAUAUAUUAAAACCAUGUGGUGAGAGAAGAUAAAAUUAACUGCAUCUGAAAAGCUGACACUGAAACAGGACCUAUGCUUUUGUGCUAACUAAAGACAUCCAUUUGUCUGCUCUUCAUACAUAGGGUAAAAUCACAAUGGAAUGUAAAGGGAAAUAAAAUGAAAGGGAAAUAAAAGUUAAUAAUUAGGGAACAAAGCUGGAUGAUGCAAAGGUUCCAUUGGGAAUAAACAGAUGAGGAGCAAGUUAGAGGGUCUGUGAGACGAAGGUCAGUUUCCAGUCCAUUCUGCAGAAUAAAUACGGUGCCUUGGACGUACAAUAAGUCUCAUAAGUCAUAGAUUGACUUGGUCAUGUAUCAGCCUCCACCCAGCAGAGCUCUCAAUGCAGCUCAUCAGCAAUCCCUGCUGAGCACAGAUCUGUGAUCGGAAUCCGCAGUUGGAGUGGAUUACCGCCGCACUUAGCCUGGCAGGGAAACAGAGUGCACAGCCAACAGCAGACAAGUAUCAUCCCUUUUAGGACACCAUAUGUCAAUUCCAGAAUUGAUUGCCAAAGUCAAAACAAACUGCCGUCAGAGGCCUCCUCUGAAAUUCCAUUUCAUAGAUGAGGUUUGUCUCAAUGAAUACUGACCUUCCAUACAAGGUAGAAGGUCCAGAGAAUCAUAUUAAUGUGCAACCUUCUUUUUGAUGUGCUUUUGGCAUGAGAAAACAUUUGAAGAAGUAGAAUUAAACAAAGAGAACAACAAACACUAGGAAAUACCAUUCAUUCCUCCUGUAAGGAAUGAGCUUGGCAUUCUUCCAAGCGCUAAAGUGACCAAAGAUGGUCAAAAAUCUCUACCUUCCUAGAUCUUUCAUUCUACCGAGAGAAGAAGACAGAAAAUAAAUAAACGUGUCACAUAUAGUAUAUAAGAAGGUGACAUACACAAUGCAGUCAAGACAAGGAGGUAUUUGGGAGGAACAGGGCUGCCUCAGACAAGCUGAUUUUGUAAUCAUUCCAUGAUGCAAUGGAGCCAGUGAUCGAAUGAUAAUGUCAUUCCAAAAAUGCUCACUGUCCAGGAAAAGGGAAGACAAAACACUUGGCUUCACCCAGUUCCUGUUUGUGUUUUGACCUCUUUGAACUAGUAAUCAAAAACGAUGCAGGGAGUUCCCUUGUGGCACAGCAUCUUAAGUACCCAGCGGCACUGUCAUUGCAGCGAAUCAGGUCACUGCUGUGGCACAGGUUUAAUCACUGAUCCAAGAAUUUCCAUCUGCUGUGGGUGUGGCCAAGAGAAAAAGAAAAAAAAAAAAAAACAUGCAAAGCAGGAUGCUUGGGAAACACUCCCCAGCCCCUGCUUCAAUCUAGGUAUUUAUCUGAUGGGCCAGAAAGAUACAACUCUGUAACAAUAGCUAAUACUUACAUAACUUUUUCUAUGAUCGUCUAGGCUCGUUCUAAGAGCUUGCUAUGUUGAUUAAUUUCAGCCUCAUGUCAUAUUAACAGGGUAUGUACAUCAUCCUGUUCUUUCACAUUAAAAGACCAAGACAGUGAAAUUCACUCUCAAGAGUGGCUUUGGGAUUUGGAUCCAGACAUUCUGGCUCCAGAGACUGUGCCUUUAACUACCCUGUACAGCAGCAUGUGCCUGCAUCUAACAGUCCUACUGCCGUUUCCACUGGACAGCAAAUGGGCUGCAUGAAAUUAACGUGCUCAAAAUAAAACUCUGGAUCCUUAAUACAUCUUCCUUCCCCUCCUUUUCCACCACCUCUGCACACCUGUUCUUCACUCAGGCUUCAGAACUGUCUUUAUAAAUAGCACACCAUUCACACAGCUGUUCAGGCCCAACACGUAGGCCUGGAUUUAUCUGUUUCUCUCUCACCCUUCAUCUGAUCUGUCUGAAAAUCCUGCAAAAUAUUUUUCAAAACCAGCGACCUCCAAUCACUUCCAGGCUGCUGUCAGGUCUCACCUACAGAACCAGGACAGCCUGCUUCCCCACCGGCUGCCAAGAGUCAUUUCUCCCUCCCUGAAGUAGGAAUGAUUUUUGAAAUGGAAAUCAGAUCAUAUCAUGCCCUUGCUCAAAUAAGCUGGAUGGUUUCCUUAUUAGUCAAGGUUCUCCCGAGAAACAGAACCAAUAGUAUGUAUAUAUAGAGAGAGAGAGAACGAGAGGGAGAGAGAGUUAUUUUAAGCAAUUGGCCGAUGCAGUUGUGGAGGCUGGCACAUCCAGAAUCUGCAGGGUAGGCCAGUGGGCUGGAAUUUCUGGCAAGAGUUGCCUGGAGGGUUCUUUUCUAUCCUUCUGCUCUCACCUUCUCCAUUUUCUCCUCUUUCUGUUCUGGGUACAUGACACCCUCCUUCCUAUCUCAAAAAAAAAAAAAAAAGCUUCCUUUUGUCAUUGCUGUCCCUUGUACUUGGAAUACUCUUCCCCUAGAACUCCAUGGGGCUCCCUCCUUCACCUAAUUUAGGUCUCUGCUCCAAAGUCACUUUCUCAGGGAGGACUUUGACAACCGGCCUAUCUCAAACAGACCAGGACCGUCCCUUUAUCUGCCUUCAUAACACUUCUCAGUGCCUGGGAGCAUAUUAUGUGCUUGAUUAUUUUCUCUCUCUACCCUGCCAGAGUGUUGGGUUUUUUGCUUUUUUUUCCCAACAUUUAAAGCUCUUCUUUAACUCACUGUAGAGUCACACCGUUUGUGCCCUAUUGUAAGCAUUCAGUGAAAGAAGCUGAAUGAACGAAGAACAUCAUGCAAGUACAUUUUUUAAAUUCUUUGCUAGAAAGGGCUUGUGGAAAUAUCAAAAAACAUUAAUAUCACUUUUCAAGUACUUAUGCUGUAAAUGAAACUAUAAAUGAUAUUACUUUUUUCUAUAAUUUAUAUUCCAUGCAACAAUCUUUUUCGUUAUGGCGGUUGGUUUUUGUUUUUAAUCUAAGAUUCUUGCCAAUUUCCUCUGUGAUUUUUUUUUUUUUUAAUUUAAGGCCACAACACUUAAUGUUCUUUUCCUCCUAGAAUGCUAUGCUUGGAUCAACCCACCUAAUCAAAACACCCUGCACUGAAUAAUCACAUCUUUAAAAAUCAUACAACUCUAAGUUGUACAGCAGCUCUCUAGAACUUCUUCUUCUUAUGUAAAACCUUAGAGCAUAUAGUUAACAAUUCAGUAUUAUGCACUUAAAACUUGCCCAUGCAGUAGAGCUCAUGCGAUGUGUUCUUUCCACAGAGAAUAAGAAAGCAAAGGAACACAAGAGUGCCUUUGGAGCUGGUGGAUAUGUUCGUUUCCCUGUAUAGGGUAAUGGUUAUCACAGGUGUAUGCAUCAGUCCAAGCUCAUCAAAACAUAUACAAUACAUGCAACUCUUUGUAUAUUAAGUAUACCUCAAUUAAAAAAAAUUUUUUUUUACCCACAACUGCAGCAAUGGAGGUUCCUGAGUGAGGGAUCAAACCCACACCACAGCAGCGACCCAAGCUGCUGCAGCGACCACAUCGGAUCCUUAACCCGCUAUGCCAUAAGACAACUCCUAUCUUAAUACGUUUUUUAUUUUUCUUUUUUUUUUUUUUGUCUUUUUGUCUUUUUGUUGUUGUUGUUGCUAUUUCCUGGGCCGCCCCCGCAGCAUAUGGAGGUUCCCAGGCUAGGGGUUGAAUCGGAGCUGUAGCCACCGGCCUACGCCAGAGCCACAGCAACGCGGGAUCCGAGCCGCGUCUGCAACCUACACCACAGCUCACGGCAACGCCGGAUCGUCAACCCACUGAGCAAGGGCAGGGACCGAACCCGCAACCCCAUGGUUCCUAGUCGGAUUCGUUAACCACUGCGCCACGACGGGAACUCCAAUACGUUUUUUAAAAAUCACUCUGCCCAAGCACCACCCUCCCCUUUCUUUGUCUGAGUAUUGUGAAUUGUGAUAGCCCAUUGUGUAUCUUAACAACAGCAAUCAAGCCAAGAUUGGUAUUCAGAAAGAAGGCUGGGAAAAUUAGUAGAGCCAAUAUUAAAAACUUACUUAUGGAGUUCCCGUCGUGGCUCAGUGGAAACAAAUCUGAUUAGCAUUCAUGAGGACACAGGCUCCAUCUCCGACCUCGCUCAGUGGGUUAAGGAUCAGGCACUGCUGUGAGCUGUGGUGUAGGUUGCAGAUGUGGCUCGGAUCCUGCUUUGAGGUGGCUGUGGCAUAGGCCAGCAGCUGCAGCUCCAAUUCGACCCCUAGCCUGGGAACUUCCAUAUGCCUUAGGUGUAGCCCUAAAAAAAAGACAAAAAAAAAAAAAAACACCUUAUUUAUAUAGUGACUAAUAAUUAAUGUUCUUUGUUUUCAGAGAAAUGGCCAAUCAUCUCAUUGUGUGAGUGAUCCAAGAGGAUUCUGAAUGUUCUUAAUUCCAAGUCUACAAAUUAGAUAACCGAGAAAAAAUUAGUGCUAUCAGCUUCUACACUGAGUCAAAGAAAUAUCUUCAGGAAUCUGGAGGGAAACUAAUGCAAAAGUCCCGUUUAACGCCUCUGUGUUUGGCAGAGAAGGCCAUUCCUGGGAAUUUUAUGUGCCAGAUGUCUGUUUCCGUCACAAUGAAAGAGAUGCAGACUUCAGUGUGCAUUCAUGAUCACAAGGAUGGUUGCCUUGCAGACUCAAAAUUCACUGGCUUGACUCCAUGCCUGCGACUCCUCAGUGACCCAGCCACCCCAGGGACAGGAGCCCCCAGACUCCAGGAACUCAACCCAAGUUCCACAGGUGGAUGCUGAACAGAAUCCGCAACCUCUGACACUCAAGAGUAUUUUCAGAAGGGUUUCCACUACCAGCUUAUUCUGCAAGAAUCUCCAGCAUCCCAGCAAGGCCUUUAGAUUCUAUGACUGGAAGGUGAGAGGGGAAUUGGAUUAUGAAGUCUUUGGAGAGAUCAGCAGCACCCCUUGUCCCUGGUACCAUGGAUGGUACCAGGAAAGAGCCCUCUGCCCACAGAGGCUAAGACUUGGAGGCUCAGCGUCCACUUAGCCUCUUGUGGCUCAAAAAACAGCUCCAAUUUCCACAUGCCAUUCUUCCAAAAACUACUCAACUGUUUCAUGAAUAUUAUUAUUGUAUCUUUCCUCCAGGAAGGAAAAAACACAUAAAUAAAUAAAUGAAGUGAGCCUCUUGUUGAUAAAGUGGGCAUUUAGUUUGUAAAAGAAAUGAUAGUUCUAGAGAGAAUUCUACCAGCAAACAUGAGAGUCGCUUGAAUUGCAGGUACCAACCUCUCUCAGCCUUAUUUUCCUUAGCUGUAAAAUGACAGCAUUGGGAGUCUAUAAAACUCAUUCCAGCUUUAAGAGUCUGUGAACUAAAAUAAAUUAAAACUCUUUUGUUUUUCCCCUCAAAUUUCACUUCACCUUAUUGUUUGUCAAUUAAAUAUAAUAUCCUAUUGAAAAGAAGCUCUUCCCCCAUCUUUUAAAAUAAAUGCAUUUUGUUUUUCCAUUUUGAGUCUCCUCUUUGUACAUCCCAGCAGUUACCAUUCAAGGGCUGCUCUAUUUUGUGCUGAGUUUGAUUUCCUUCAGCUUUCCUCUUUCUCUGAACAGCAGGUGCCCGAAUAACAAGGCAGGGUGAAAUUUACGGAAACAAUGUGUUUAUACAUUUGGCUACCUUAUCUAAAAUGUAACACUCUUUGACUCUAAAUCAGAUGUCUUGCCAUAUGUUAGAAGAUACAAAGAAUACUGUACAGGCUAGUAGCCAUAAUUUUGUGUGAAGGUAUGGAUGGGGUCCCAAAAUUACUCUCAUGAAACACAAAAAUUUCUUUGAAUCCUCUUGCUACACCUUCAUGGCAACCAAGACACUCUUAAACAGAAAUUGUUCCAUUUAUAUUCUAGAGUAUUUAAUAAAGUUCCAAAUAAAAACUAGUCACAGCAAUAAGAAUUCUUUCAUUUAAGCCUAUUAAAACACUUGAAUCAUAUUGAAAUUCCUCACAGAGCUGGACUAUAAAAUGCAAUGGUUUUUUUCAAACAAGCAAAUAAAAGACACUUUGAGAGUCCCACCUCUCCUUGGGAAAUUUUAUUUGGUGAUUGUUUCUGUGGGAGCUCCACUCAGAAGAAUUUGUUUUAUUUUAAUUAAAGUUGAACAGAAGAAGGUUCUUAGACCACCUAGCUGACCAUACAGAUUAUCUGUUAUUUGAUUCUACUGAAAGAUACUGUUGAAUUUCUCCUGGAUUUGGGGUAUUAGCCACUGCUUGCUACCCCACCCAGGAUCAGUAUUAGGACAGCUGAUAAAGUGAGUGUAUUCUCCUGCUUUCCUCCAUCUGCCAUUCCCACUUCUCUCUUCCUUGUGAAGCCAUCAUCCCACUCCAAAUGGGGUUGGGUUUGUAUGUUCCAGGGAGGGCAUAAUAGAAAUAGUCCCUUCCUGGAUUUAAGUUCAAACAAUGCUCUUACAGUAUAGAUGGAUUUAUUUUAAAUCUAAUUCCUGCAUCCUAAGCUUCUUAUCAGCAAUGAUAACAUAACAAAUCAAGUUCUCUACUAGAAUUUAGCCUUGGGUGACACCCACAAACCCUGCGUAAUGCAUCAAAAAUCAGAGCAUUUACUAUCCUAUAUUCCACACUAGGCACCCUGGUAAGCAUUGGAGGUAGAGUUGAAAAGACACAUGUUUUGCCCUCAAUGAGUCUGUUACAAUUUUAGGAGCCCAAGAAGCCCCCUCUAUUCCAAAAUAUCCCCCCAAAUG
rnacentral:lncRNA from 1 species